AUUGAACGCUGGCGGCAUGCCUUACACAUGCAAGUCGAACGGUAACGGGCCUUCGGGUGCCGACGAGUGGCGAACGGGUGAGUAAUGUAUCGGAACGUACCUUUCAGUGGGGGAUAACGUAGCGAAAGUUACGCUAAUACCGCAUAUUCUGUGAGCAGGAAAGCAGGGGAUCGCAAGACCUUGCGCUGAUUGAGCGGCCGAUAUCAGAUUAGCUAGUUGGUGAGGUAAAGGCUCACCAAGGCGACGAUCUGUAGCGGGUCUGAGAGGAUGAUCCGCCACACUGGAACUGAGACACGGUCCAGACUCCUACGGGAGGCAGCAGUGGGGAAUUUUGGACAAUGGGGGGCAACCCUGAUCCAGCCAUGCCGCGUGAGUGAAGAAGGCCUGG
rnacentral:rRNA from 1 species